CCUACGGGUGGCAGCAGUUUGGAAUUUUGGACAAUGGGCGAAAGCCUGAUCCAGCGACGCCGCGUGGUGGAUGAAGGUCUUCGGAUUGUAAACACCUUUUGUUAGGGAAGAAUUUUAUGACGGUACCUAACGAAUAAGAGGUUGCUAACUCUGUGCCAGCAGCAGCGGUAAUACAGAGACCUCAAGCGUUAUCCGGAAUCAUUGGGCGUAAAGCGUACCGAUAGGUGGUUAUGCAAGUCAGAGGUGAAAUCUCCGAGCUCAACUCGGAAUCUGUCCUUUGAAACUGCACAACUAGAGGGGCAAAGAGGAAGCUGGAACGAACGGUGUAGUAGUGAAAUGCGUUGAUAUCGUUCGGAACACCAAUAGCGAAGGCAAGCUUCUGGGUGCCACCUGACACUGCUAGGACGAAAGCGUGGGGAGCGAAUGGGAUUAGAUACCCGUGUAGUC
rnacentral:rRNA from 1 species